GCCUCUAUAGCUCAGUGGUAGAGCACUGGUCUCGUAAACCAGGGGUCGUGUGUUCAAUCCUCACUAGAGGCA
rfam:Ciona savignyi cont_56724, whole genome shotgun sequence.